CUCACAUUGUGCUUUCUGUGCAGCGAGCGGAGGGAGGCUCACAUUGCGCUUUCUGGGCAGCGAGCGGUGGGAGGUUAACAUCGUGCUUCUUGUCCCGCGGAUCGAUACUAGCUAGUUGCCAUGGCGAUUAUAAGGUUAUCUUGGCUUCUGAUCGUUACUGUGCUUGUCCAUAGGGUAAUUUGGCUGCUGGUUGUGAUAGUUACAGCAAUGGCUGUUGGGGUAAUGUGGCUGCUGGUUGUGAUAGUUACAGUACCGGCUGUUGGGGUAAUGUGGCUGCUGGUUGUGAUGGUUACAGUACCGGCUGUGGGGGUAAUGUGGCUGCUGGUUGUGAUAGUUACAGUACUGGCUGUUGGGGUAAUGUGGCUGCUGGUUGUGAUAGUUACAGUACUGGCUGUUGGGGUAAUGUGGCUGCUGGUUGUGAUAGUUACAGUACUGGCUGUUGGGGUAAUGUGGCUGCUGGUUGUGAUAGUUACAGUACUGGCUGUGGGGGUAAUGUGGCUGCUGGUUGUGAUAGUUACAGUACCGGCUGUUGGGGUAAUGUGGCUGCUGAUUGUGAUAGUUACAGUACCGGCUGUUGGGGUAAUGUGGCUGCUGGUUGUGAUGGUUACAGUACCGGCUGUUGGGGUAAUGUGGCUGCUGAUUGUGAUGGUUACAGUACUGGCUGUUGGGGGUAAUGUGGCUGCUGAUUGUGAUGGUUACAGUACUGGCUGUUGGGGGUAAUGUGGCUGCUGGUUGUGAUAGUUACAGUACUGGCUGUUGGGGUAAUGUGGCUGCUGGUUGUGAUAGUUACAGUACCGGCUGUUGGGGUAAUGUGGCUGCUGGUUGCGAUAGUUACAGUACUGGCUGUUGGGGUAAUGUGGCUGCUGGUUGUGAUAGUUACAGUACUGGCUGUUGGGGUAAUGUGGCUGCUGUUGUGAUAGUUACAGUACUGGCUGUUGGGGUAAUGUGGCUGCUGGUUGUGAUAGUUACAGUACUGGCUGUGGGGUAAUGUGGCUGCUGGUUGUGAUAGUUACAGUACUGGCUGUUGGGGUAAUGUGGCUGCUGGUUGUGAUAGUUACAGUACUGGCUGUGGGGGUAAUGUGGCUGCUGGUUGUGAUAGUUACAGUACUGGCUGUUGGGGUAAUGUGGCUGCUGGUUGUGAUAGUUACAGUACCGGCUGUGGGGGUAAUGUGGCUGCUGGUUGUGAUAGUUACAGUACUGGCUGUGGGGGUAAUGUGGCUGCUGGUUGUGAUAGUUACAGUACCGGCUGUUGGGGUAAUGUGGCUGCUGGUUGUGAUAGUUACAGUACUGGCUGUUGGGGUAAUGUGGCUGCUGGUUGUGAUGGUUACAGUACUGGCUGUUGGGGUAAUGUGGCUGCUGGUUGUGAUAGUUACAGUACUGGCUGUUGGGGUAAUGUGGCUGCUGGUUGCGAUAGUUACAGUACCAGUUGUUAUGGUAAUGUGGUUUUAGUCAUAAAGAGCUGGACUCCAAUUUUCUUGCACUAAUAAGACAUAACACUCACAGAUUCCACCACAGAGGAAAUGGAGCCAGUUUGUCCAAGGCAGCAGCUGGUGANNNNNNNNNNNNNNNNNNNNNNNNNNNNNNNNNNNNNNNNNNNNNNNNNNNNNNNNNNNNNNNNNNNNNNNNNNNNNNNNNNNNNNNNNNNNNNNNNNNNGUUACAGAAAUCAAUAAAUCCCAGCACACGGCCAGAUCCUAUGAUAUUCUCAGGGAUUCCUUCCUUUAUGUUAAAAACUGGAGGUUGAGCAAGAUUUAAGUAAUGUCAUGUCUUGGGGAUGCAGUACCGAAGUUAUAUCCAGUAAAGCCAGUGUGCGCUAUACGCAGUGACAAAGCUAGUCAGUAUAGGAAGUGUGCGCUAUAUGUAGUGACCAGGCUAGGUCAGUAUAGGCAGUGUACGCUAUAUGUAGUGACCAGGCUAGGUCAGUAUAGACAGUGUGUGCUAUAUGUAGUGAAAAGGCUAGGUCAGUAGAGGCAGUGUACGCUAUAUGUAGUGACAAGGCUAGGUCAGUAUAGCCAGUGUGUGCUAUAUGUAGUGACAAGGCUAGGUAUGUAUAGCCAGUGUGCGCUAUACUUCCUUCAUGUUACAAACUGGAGGUUGAGCAAGAUUGAAGUAAUGUCACGUCUUGGGGAUGCAGUACCGAAGUUAUAUCUGGUAAAGCCAGUGUACGCUAUAUGUAGUGAAAGGCUAGGUCAGUAUAGGCAGUGUGCGCUAUAUGUAGUGACAAGGCUAGGUCAGUAUAGCCAGUGUGUGCUAUAUGUAGUGACAAGGCUAGGUCAGUAUAGGCAGUGUACGCUAUAUGUAGUGACAAGGCUAGGUCAGUAUAGGCAGUGUGCGCUAUAUUUAGUGACAAGGCUGGGUCAGUAUAGGCUGUGUGCGCUAUAUGUAGUGACAAGGCUAGGUCAGUAUAGGCAGUGUGCCCUAUAUGUAGUGACAAGGCUAGGUCAGUAUAGGCAGUGUGCGCUAUAUGUAGUGACAAGGCUAGGUCAGUAUAGGCAGUGUGUGCUAUAUGUAGUGACAAGGCUAGGUCAGCAUAGGCAGUGUGUGCUAUAUGUAGUGACCAGGCUAGGUCAGUAUAGGCAGUGUGCGCUAUAUGUAAUGACCAGGCUAGGUCAGUAUAGGCUGUGUGCGCUAUAUGUAGUGACAAGGCUAGGUCAUCAUAGGCAGUGUGCGCUAUAUGUAGUGACAAGGCUAGGUCAGUAUAGCCAGUGUGUGCUAUAUGUAGUGACCAGGCUAGGUCAGUAUAGGCUGUGUGCGCUAUAUGUAGUGACAAGGCUAGGUCAGUAUAGGAUGUGUGCGCUAUAUGUAGUGACAAGCAUUGCAAUACACUAAUGAGAAUAAGGUGCCAACCUUGUAAAAUGCUCUUUUAAAAGAAGAAUUUAAAACCUCUGCUUGCUUCAGAAAAUUGUGUCUGUAAAUAACACUUUCAGGGGUCACAUAGCCCACACAUCUUAAAGGGUUCCAUAUUUUAAAGCCUGGCAUAACCUAGGGGCCCAACCCUGAACAGGGAACAGGGGGCAGCAGUGUGAGCGAUUUAACUAUGCUCAGCGAGGGGUGCCAGCCUGCGAAUGGCUCGCUCAGCGAGGCGUGCCAGCCCGUGUAUGGUGUGCUCAGCGAGGGGUGCCAGCCUGCCUAUUGUGCGCUCAGCGAGGGGUGCCAGCCUGCCUAUUGUGCGCUCAGCGAGGGGUGCCAGCCUGCAUAUUGCGCGCUUAGCGAGGGGUGCCAGCCUGCGUAUUACGCGCUCAGCGACGGGUGCCAGCCCGUGUAUGGUGUGCUCAGCAAGGGGUGCCAGCCUGCGUAUUGUGCGCUCCGCGAGGGGUGCCAGCCCGUGUAUGGUGUGCUCAGCGAGGGGUGCCAGCUGGCGUAUGGCGCGCUCAGCGAGGGGUGCCAGCCUGUGUAUGGCGCGCUCAGCCAGGGUGAAAGACUAGGAAGCUUCCUGAGUAAUUCCUCACCCCCUCAGUUUUAUACGCUUUAUAUAUGAAAACUUAAAGUAAAUAAAUAUUUGUGUGUUUCUUAGCAAGUGGCUGCCACUUCCUGAGUGAUNNNNNNNNNNNNNNNNNNNNNNNNNNNNNNNNNNNNNNNNNNNNNNNNNNNNNNNNNNNNNNNNNNNNNNNNNNNNNNNNNNNNNNNNNNNNNNNNNNNNGCUGCGGGGGGUUUGUGCGAUGGCUUCGGAGAGAGGCUGCGGGGGGUUUGUGCGAUGGCUUCGGAGAGAGGCUGCGGGGGGUUUGUGCGAUGGCUUCGGAGAGAGGCUGGGGGGUUUGUGCGAUGGCUUCGGAGAGAGGCUGGGGGGUUUGUGCGAUGGCUUCGGAGAGGCUGGGGGGUUUGUGCGAUGGCUUCGGAGAGGCUGGGGAGUUUGUAUGAUCUGUCCUAUUUUGUGAAGUCAUUUUUAGCAGUAGGAACCAUCAUUAGGCCUCUCGGGCUUCCCAGAUGUAUCAUUGACUUUUGUAUUUAUCUUUUUAACAUCUCUUAUUGUUCAGCUGUUGCUUUCCCGCGAGCUCCUCUUGAUAGUUUUAUUGGAUGUUUUAUGGCUCCCAGCAGGGAUCCUCCAUUAUCAUUUUACUCUAAACAAGGUAUUGAAGGCCCUGUAAAGGAAGAGAUUAAAUCCUGCAGGACCUGCUAAACUUGAUCAGUGAUAAAACUGACUGGCCUGACCCGUCUCCGUACCAAGAGCCAGAAAGGUGUGUGCAAAGCCAAGCAAUGUGUGCCAUUCACACGUACAGCUCCAACAUGGGGGGGGGGGGUAAACGUUCCCAUAAACAUUGUCUGAUUUAUGACAGGUAGACAUUAAAGGUUAGAGACAGCUUUCCUACCUUCUCACAGGUAUGCUCCUGUGAUUGACAAAACAGGUGGCAUGCACUCAUUCCAAGGGGCCAAGAUGGCCGCAGGGCAGAAAUGUGUGCCUGGGACCGACCAUGGAAAGCAUGUAACCGAUAGGCCCCUGCCCAAAGGCCCCUCUCUGCCCUUUUUAAUGACAGGAAUUUGACCUGAGCUGUAAAUAUUCCACGUGUGUACAUACCAUAAAGGGAAGAGAGAAUAAACUGAGCAACACAAACUACCUGACAACAGGAAUGAGCUUUUUUGACACAGUUAUUGAUUUUGUGUUGGUUUAUUUCCUAAUAAAUUAUUGUUGUUCAGUGCACAUUUUCUAGUCAGGGAAUCCCUGCGAUGUUACGCCACAGUGUUUGUCGGUGUAUCCGUGCAGAGGACGGAUUGCUGUGUUUAUUGUCCGUUUUAGUCGUUUUCUGGGAUCUUAUUUAUGCGGUGACACGGAGUUAUUUCUCUGCUGCGCUAAACAGGUGUGCUUAAAAGUUUGCAUACCCUUGGAGAAUUGGUGAUAUAUGUACCAUUUUAAAGAAAACAUGAGUGAGCAGGCACAUUGCUUUUAUUUGUUAUGGGAUUCAUAUUCAACUGUAGGUUAUAACACAAUGGCACAAUAAAAAAUAAAAAAAACUUGGCAACAAAGAAAAAAAUGAAAUGACCCCUGUUCAAAAGUCUGCAUUCCCUUAGUUCUUAAUACUGUGUAUUGCCCCCGUUAGCAUCAAUGACAGCGUGCAGACUUUUGUGCUAGUUGUCUAUGAGGUCCUUAAUUCUUGCAGGUGGUAUAGCGGCCCAUUCGUCUUGGCAAAUUGCCUCCAGGUCAUGCAAAGUCUUUGGUCGUCUUACAUGAACCGCACGUUUGAGAUCUCCCCAGAGGGGCUAGAUGAUAUUAAGGUCAGGAGACUGUGAUGGCCACUCCAGAACCUUCACCUUUUUCUGCUGUAACACUUGAGGGUCAACUUGGCCGUGUGCUUAGGGUCAUUGUCAUGCUGGAAAGUCAAAGAGCGCCCCAUGCGCACCCUUCAUGCAGAAGAAGGCAAAUUGUCUGCCAGUAUUUUCUGAUAACAUGCUGCAUUUAUCUUGCCAUUAAUUUUCACAAGAUUCCUUUAGAGGCCCCUCCUCCCCAAAUAUCAGUGAGCUUUCACAGUGGGGAUGAUAUUCUUUUCACAAUGUUGAAGGGGCCUGUUGACCCCUCUCCAAACACAGCACCUAUGGUUGUGACCAUAAAGCUCUAUUUUGGUCUUGUCACUCCAAAUCACAGUGUGCCAGAAGCUGUGAGACGUGUCAAGGUGUUGUCGGGCAUUUUGUAACCUGGCUUUUUUGUGGCAUGGGCGCAGUAAAGGCUUCUUUCUGGCAACUCGACCAUGCAGCUCAUUUAUGUUCAAGUAUCGUUGUAUUGUGCUCCCUGAAACAACCACACCGUCUUUUUCCUGAGCAGCCUGUAUUUCUCCUGAGGUUACCUGUGGGAUUUUAUUUGUACCCCGAACAAUUCUUCUAGCAGUUGUGGCUGAAAUCUUUCUUGGUCUACCUGACCUUGGCUUGGUAUCAAGAUAUCCCCGAAUUUUCCACUUCUUAAUAAGUGAUUGAACAGAACUGGUUGGCACUUUCAAGGCUUUGGAUAUCUUUUUAUAUCCAUUUCCAUCUUUAUAAAGUUCCAUUACCUUGUUACGCAGGUCUUUUGACGGUUCUUUUCUGCUUCCCACGGCUCAGUAUCUAGCUUUCCUCGCUUUUAUUUUUACAUAUUACAAUGAGGAAACUGGUAGCUCCCUCCUUGUAAUAAACUGAACCAACUUAGACUGAAUUACAAUUCGUUUUUUGUUUCAUUCUAUGUGAUUUCUCUAAGUUUGUCUUUUUGGCAAAUGAACGAAUAGCCGAAAUUUAGUUUGAAAUUUGGACAAUGGUGAAUGCCCAAGUGUACAACUUGCUUGCACGCAAAUUUCACAGUCCGAGCUAGUGUGGGCAGAUGAAGCCCAUGCGGUACACGUCAUCCAUGAAAUGUUAAGAUGGCGGUGCCUAGGAGAUCGAUCGGGAGAAGAAAUUCAUUUUUUUCAGUGAAAAUGGACAACGGUUAGAUACCAAUUCCUGACGAGAAAGAUUUCAUGUGGAAGUGCUGGCCCUGACUGUGUAAUGUGUCACCGCUCUCCUUGGGGCCACACCUUGUAUUCCCCUGCUGUGAACAUUUCUGAGAUUUGGGGAAGUUAAAGCAGUCUUGCACAGAAAGUUUGGGAGAAGCUUACUGUUUUAUAUUGACUUAUUAAUGACUCGGGUAUGCCAUAAAGACACAGUGAUAUUGAACCUUGGGAUUGUCCCUUAUAAUGUCAAGCUAUUGGCAGAAUAGCAUGAUUGGGCUAAAGGGGGGGUAGAUGUACUUCUGGUUGGGGUGAAGGGGUUCAUACUGUGCACACAGUCUAUAUAUCUUAGUGCCUGUGUGAAGAGUCUGUCGGUUUCCCUGUAGAGGGCGCUCUUUGCGCACUGACUGUUGGAAACCAAGGUCUGUAAUGACUUCUAUAAUUUCUUCGUAGUCUCCUGCUGCGGAUUAUCUUGGCGCUGCAUUAGGUGACAAUAUAUAGAAUUAUUUUAAAAAAUGUAAUCUUUAUCCUCCCUUCUACCUCCAGUCACCUGGGUGCCUUUAGUGAUCAUUUAACGAUGAAAUUAUUGAACUGGCUCCAGUUUUAUUGGUUAAUCACUCGUAUUUGGAGAAAAAGUUAAAUUAUUAUUUUAUUUAUAUAGCGCCAGCAAAUUCCAUAGUGCUGUACAAUGAAAGGUAUUCAUUGUGUAUACAUAGAUUGGCAAAAUAACAGUGGGGUUAAGAUCUGUGUCUGAACUCUGUUUUAUAACAUUAAUUUCUGUGAAAUACUGCAUGUUCUCUCUGCAGACACGAGUUCAGUAACUUGGAUUAAUAGAAUGAAAUGACCAAUAAUGUAAAAUAUUACACGAACAGACCGCUUCGUGCUGCAUUACUAAUCCCUAUUUCAUGUUGAAUUGGACUAUAAUCUAUUUUAGAAUUAAAUAAAGGAAGGCUUAUUUUUUUUUUCUUCUUCUCUCCAAAAGCAUUUUAUUAAAAGAAAUCCGAUUUUUACAUAUUUUUUUUUUUUUUUAAAUCCUAAUUUUUUUUCUAUAUGUAUGCAAAUCAUCCAUCCGCCCUGCUUUGCNNNNNNNNNNNNNNNNNNNNNNNNNNNNNNNNNNNNNNNNNNNNNNNNNNNNNNNNNNNNNNNNNNNNNNNNNNNNNNNNNNNNNNNNNNNNNNNNNNNNGGUAUUGUGGGAGGGUUCAGGGUAUUACAGGCAGGUUCAGGGUAUUGUGGGAGGGUUCAGAGUAUCACAGGCAGGUUCAGGGUAUUACAGGCAGGUUCAGGGUAUUGUGGGAGGGUUCAGGGUAUUACAAGCAGGUUCAGGGUAUUGUGGGAGGGUUCAGGGUAUUGUGGGAGGGUUCAGGGUAUUACAGGCAGGUUCAGAGUAGUGUGGGAGGGUUCAGCUGCGGAAAGAUGUUAGUGGCAUAAUGCUUAAAUAGAAAAAGGAACCACACUCAAUUCAGUUAAGACCGGGUGCUUAGCUGAACCAAGGGCCAGUACAUGCCCAGGAGAUAAUAAAUACCAGUAUUAGAAAAUGGGUCCAGACACUCCAAUGUCUUCAGGCACCUUUAUUAGAACAUGUUGGAGAGCCGGUGUUCUAUCAAAUUUCCCUACCCGUGAAAAUCCCCUACCCUUGUCACUUCUGGCGAGGGGAAUCAGCUGUUUAACCCUUACCCCAAGGGUUAGGGUAAGAAUAGAGUGUGAGAGAGGUUAGAAUCACUUACCUAACCCUAAUUUGAACCCUAACAUUAACCCUAAAUGUCCCAUGUCCUAAGCUUAGUGAAUUCCCUAACUAUAGUUUUACUUACCUUCCAGGACCUUGCUGUGGAGGAGUAGCAGGAGUGCUAGCAUGCAUGUGCAAUACAGGAUCCAGCUGAUUCCCUUCACCGGAAGUGACAAGGGUAGGGGAUUUUCACGCGGUAGGGGAAUUUGAUAGAACACCGGUGAUGUAAUGAAGUGCCGGUGAUGUAAUAUUGGCGUACCAGUGAUGUGAUGUAAUGUUGAGGUGCCGGUGAUGUAAUGUGGGAGUACUGGUGACUUAAUGUGGUGCCGGUCAUGCAAUAUUGUAAAUAGGGUAGUGGCACUCUGCUGACUUAAUGGUGCCGGUAUUGAGGCACACCCACCAAAAUAUACAAAAUAUAUAUAAUACUGCACUCAAUUUCCUAUUUGCAAAUGCUCACAAAUGACUCUUUAUUACAUAUACAAAACUAUUAUAGUUUAUGGAAUGAUAAUAUAUUACGAAAAAAUAUUUAAAAUAUAGUGCAAACGGUGCGAAAUAACCAACACCACAAUAUGUGAACAGAAAAAAAGGGUGUACUGAUUAUUUACUGCUGAGUUCAUGUUGGGGAGUGUUAAAGUGUUGGUGUAAACCUGGUGUGCACAUAGUGCAAUGAUUGUGAAGUGAUGGUGUAAACCGGGAGUGUUGGUGGUCUGAUGGUCAAAGUAGAUUGAUACUUUAGAGAGAGUUCAGAGAAGGGCUGGUUAAUGGAUUGCAGGAUAAAACUUACCAGGAAAGGUUAAAUGAUCACUUGGUAUCCUUUAGAGGCAUUAAAUGGCAACAAGUGAUAUUUAGAGGUACUUGGUGGUACUGGAUGGGUAACACUGAGAGUUAUUUAUAGUGUUGAGAGACAUAGUAUUCAGGUGUAGUUAGUGCCACGGGUGGUAUUUAGUGGCUUUGAGAAGUAUUGAGUUGGAUUUGGCAUCAUUGAGUGCCAUAUCGUGGCAGUGAGUGGUAUCUAGUGGCAUGGAAAAGUUUUUUUGUGCCAAUGGUUGUGUUUAGUUGCAUUGGGAUGCAUGUGGUGUUGCUGAUAGGUAUAGAGUGGUAAUGAAAGAUAUAGUGGUACUGAGAGGCUUUGAUUACUAUUCAUUGGCAGUAGUUAGUAUUUAGUGGUAUUAAAUAGCACCAAGAGGUAUUUAACGGCAAUUUAGCAUUCUCAAGUACUUGGUGGCAUACUGCCUUGAGUGGCAUCCAGUAUGUAGCGGAGAGCUGGUCUUUCACAGGUUAAUUCCACUAAAGAUCCCAGUAAGGCAUCAGGAGCAUAACUGACUUUUAAUCCACACAACCUCCUUUUAAAGCAUUCUCCCAUGCAAGGGAGGGAUUCACCAUAAUUAGUCCAGUAGCCAUUACUGUAACAGUACCUCCCACACAUCUCCUCCCCUCAGUGUGACACAUAAUCCUAUUAAAUAUACUGUACUUUUCCCUGAAUUCUAGAUGUUCACCCAAAACAAGCAGUUAGAAUAAUACUUUGGGUACACCCUGGUAGCCGUGAUCUGGGUGACUAACGUAUCCAAAAUUCACCCAGAUCGGACCAGGGGUUCGGGAGUUAGGUUGGGGGUGUAAUUUGACCGACUGCACACACGAGGUGAUAUCCAAAAAAGGCUCCAUGUGUUUUGGCCUUGCGGUCGGUCUCUGUUCGGGAGUUAAUAUUCCAUUCGCAUCAAUCCCCUUGUUCGGGACAUUGAUUUUACCGAACAGAGGGCUGACUAGUCCCUCCGUUCGUGAGUUAUGGAACUCUGGAGGUCUCAGUGGUGUUCGGUUGUUUGAGUGUCCGAUUUGAGUUCCAGACACUCGACGACCAAACACCGCUGAGAUUUUCAUGCGUAAUCUGGCCGCCGCACGUGGUUCGUAUGCUGAACGGCGACCACACAGGCACAUACAAUGAAUCAAUUAAACUGCGGUUUGCAGAGUGUGAACGCUUAACAAGGCGCACACUUCUCACUGGGGUGGUCUGAUGGUUCGGUAGUUUCAUUCGUAUGAAACUACCGAACCAUCAUAGGAAUACUACAUACACUUUACAGAUAUACAGGGAAACAAUUAUGCGAAUACAUUUUCUAUACAGAUUUCUAUGGACAGCAUCAAUACAAUCCGCUACACAGUAGCACUGAGUAUUUGUUGGAAUUGAUUAGUCUAAAAUGGUAUUUAGUGGCUUUGAAAGGUAUUAUAUGGUGCUGAGUUAUGUAUAAUGACAGUGAGAAGUAUUUGUGGCACUGGGUGAUAUUUAGUGUCAGUAAGAGGUAUACAGUGUCUCUGGGUGACGGUUUAAUGGUACUUGGUGGCACUGGGUGAUAUUUAGUGGCAGUAAGAGGUAUACAGUGUCUCUAAGUGACGGUUUAAUGGUACUUGGUGGCACUGGAGGAUAUUUAGUGGCAGUGAGAGGUAUACAGUGUCUCUGAGUGAUGGUUUGAUGGCACUGGGUGAUAUUUAGUGGCAGUAAGGGGUAUACAGUGUCUCUGAGUGAUGGUUUAAUGGUACUUUGUGGCACUGGGUGAUAUUUAGUGGCAGUAAGAGGUAUACAGUGUCUCUGGGUGACGGUUUAAUGGUACUUGGUGGCACUAGGUGAUAUUCAGUGGCAGUAAAUGGUAUACAGUGUCUCUGGGUGUAUACUUGGUGGCACUAGGUGAUAUGUAGUGGCAGUAAGAGGUAUACAGUGUCUCUGAGUGAUGGUUUAAUGGUACUUGGUGGCACUGGAGGAUAUUUAGUGGCAGUAAGAGGUAUACAGUGUCUCUGAGUGAUGGUUUGAUGGCACUGGGUGAUAUUUAGUGGCAGUAAGGGGUAUACAGUGUCUCUGAGUGAUGGUUUAAUGGUACUUGUUGGCACUGGGUGAUAUUUAGUGGCAGUAAGAGGUAUACAGUGUAUCUGAGUGAUGGUUUAAUGGUACUUGGUGGCACUGGGUGAUAUUUAGUGGCAGUAAGAGGUAUACAGUGUCUCUGAGUGAUGGUGUAAUGGCACCUGAUGGCAUUGGGUGAUAUUUAGUGGCAGUAAGAGGUAUACAGUGUCUCUGAGUGAUGGUUUAAUGGUACUUGGUGGCACUGGGGGAUAUUUAGUGGCAGUAAAUGGUAUACAGUGUCUCUGGGUGUAUACUUGGUGGCACUAGGUGAUAUGUAGUGGCAGUAAGAGGUAUACAGUGUCUCUGGGUGACAGUGGCACUAGGUGAUAUUCAGUGGCAGUAAAUGGUAUACAGUGUCUCUGGGUGACAGUUUAAUGCUACUUGGUGGCACUAGGUGAUAUUCAGUGGCAGUAAAUGGUAUACAGUGUCUCUGGGUGACGGUUUAAUGCUACUUGGUGGCACUGGGUGAUAUUCAGUGGCAGUAAGAGGUAUACAGUGUCUCUGAGUGAUGGUUUAAUGGUACUUGGUGGCACUGGGGGAUAUUUAGUGGCAGUAAGGGGUAUACAGUGUCUCUGAGUGAUGGUUUAAUGGUACUUGGUGGCACUGGGUGAUAUUUAGUGGCAGUAAGAGGUAUACAGUGUCUCUGGGUGACAGUUUAAUGGUACUUGGUGGCACUAGGUGAUAUUCAGUGGCAGUAAAUGGUAUACAGUGUCUCUGGGUGUAUACUUGGUGGCACUAGGUGAUAUGUAGUGGCAGUAAGAGGUAUACAGUGUCUCUGGGUGACAGUUUAAUGCUACUUGGUGGCACUGGGUGAUAUUUAGUGGCAGUAAGAGGUAUACAGUGUCUCUGGGUGACAGUUUAAUGCUACUUGGUGGCACUGGGUGAUAUUUAGUGGCAGUAAGAGGUAUACAGUGUCUCUGGGUGACAGUUUAAUGCUACUUGGUGGCACUAGGUGAUAUUCAGUGGCAGUAAAUGGUAUACAGUGUCUCUGGGUGAUGGUUUAAUGGUACUUGGUGGCACUGGGUGAUAUUUAGUGGCAGUAAGGAGUAUACAGUGUCUCUGAGUGAUGGUUUAAUGGUACUUGGUGGCACUGGGUGAUAUUUAGUGGCAGUAAGGAGUAUACAGUGUCUCUGGGUGACAGUUUAAUGGUACUUGGUGGCACUGGGUGAUAUUUAGUGGCAGUAAGGGGGGUAUACAGUGUCUCUGAGUGAUGGUUUAAUGGUACUUGGUGGCACUGGGUGAUAUUUAGUGGCAGUAAGAGGUAUACAGUGUCUCUGGGUGACAGUUUAAUGGUACUUGGUGGCACUAGGUGAUAUUCAGUGGCAGUAAAUGGUAUACAGUGUCUCUGGGUGUAUACUUGGUGGCACUAGGUGAUAUGUAGUGGCAGUAAGAGGUAUACAGUGUCUCUGGGUGACAGUUUAAUGCUACUUGGUGGCACUGGGUGAUAUUUAGUGGCAGUAAGAGGUAUACAGUGUCUCUGGGUGACAGUUUAAUGCUACUUGGUGGCACUGGGUGAUAUUCAGUGGCAGUAAGAGGUAUACAGUGUCUCUGGGUGACAGUUUAAUGCUACUUGGUGGCACUAGGUGAUAUUCAGUGGCAGUAAAUGGUAUACAGUGUCUCUGGGUGAUGGUUUAAUGGUACUUGGUGGCACUGGGUGAUAUUCAGUGGCAGUAAGAGGUAUACAGUGUCUCUGAGUGAUGGUUUAAUGGUACUUGGUGGCACUGGGGGAUAUUUAGUGGCAGUAAGGGGUAUACAGUGUCUCUGAGUGAUGGUUUAAUGGUACUUGGUGGCACUGGGUGAUAUUUAGUGGUAGUAAGAGGUAUACAGUGUCUCUGGGUGACAGUUUAAUGGUACUUGAUGGCACUAGGUGAUAUUCAGUGGCAGUAAAUGGUAUACAGUGUCUCUGGGUGUAUACUUGGUGGCACUAGGUGAUAUGUAGUGGCAGUAAGAGGUAUACAGUGUCUCUGGGUGACAGUUUAAUGCUACUUGGUGGCACUGGGUGAUAUUUAGUGGCAGUAAGAGGUAUACAGUGUCUCUGGGUGACAGUUUAAUGCUACUUGGUGGCACUGGGUGAUAUUUAGUGGCAGUAAGAGGUAUACAGUGUCUCUGGGUGACAGUUUAAUGCUACUUGGUGGCACUGGGUGAUAUUCAGUGGCAGUAAAUGGUAUACAGUGUCUCUGGGUGAUGGUUUAAUGGUACUUGGUGGCACUGGGUGAUAUUUAGUGGCAGUAAGGAGUAUACAGUGUCUCUGUGUGAUGGUUUAAUGGUACUUGGUGGCACUGGGUGAUAUUUAGUGUCAGUAAGAGGUAUACAGUGUCUCUGGGUGACAGUUUAAUGGUACUUGUUGGCACUGGGUGAUAUUCAGUAGCAGUAAGAGGUAUACAGUGUCUCUGAGUGAUGGUUUAAUGGUACUUGAUGACACUAGUUUGACGGUAUUAGUAAAUGAUUGUUGGUAUUGUGACAUUGUUGCAGUAUGUGGAAGAGGUAUUCGGUGACAGCAGUGCUAAAUGCAGAGUGCUCUGUACUCACUGACUCAGGCUGCAGCUGUUUCUUUAAGGGGCAGGGCAGAACAGUGACCCUGCCAUGGGGUUUGGCUCUGUUUUUUUUUUUUUAUUUGGGAUCUGAGGGAGCAUGGGACACUGUGUGAGAUACAGAGACUGCAACCGGCCUGGACUGGGGCACACACACUGACAGCAAGGUAGACACACUCACUGAGACACUCUACUCCCUUCCAGCCACUAUACAGAGAGUGAGUGUACUGGGCACUAUAUAGAGAGACAGACUGAGAGUACUGGGCACUAUAUACAGAGACAGACUGAGAGUACUGGGCACUAUAUACAGAGACAGACUGAGAGUAUUUGGCACUAUAUACAGAGACAGACUGAGAGUACCGAGCACUAUAUACAGAGACAGACUGAGAGUACUGGGCAAUAUAUACAGAGACAGACUGAGAGUACCGAGCACUAUAUACAGAGACAGACUGAGAGUACCGAGCACUAUAUACAGAGACAGACUGAGAGUACUGAGCACUAUAUACAGAGACAGACUGAGAGUACUCGGCACUAUAUACAGAGACAGACUGAGAGUACCGAGCACUAUAUACAGAGACAGACUGAGAGUACUCGACACUAUAUAGAGAGACAGGCUGAGAGUACUCAGCACUAUAUACAGAGACAGACUGAGAGUACUGGGCACUAUAUACAGAGACAGACUGAGAGUACCGAGCACUAUAUACAGAGACAGACUGAGAGUACUGGGCACUAUAUACAGAGACAGACUGAGAGUACCGAGCACUAUAUACAGAGACAGACUGAGAGUACUCGGCACUAUAUAGAGAGACAGACUGAGAGUACUCAGCACUAUAUACAGAGACAGACUGAGAGUACUGGGCACNNNNNNNNNNNNNNNNNNNNNNNNNNNNNNNNNNNNNNNNNNNNNNNNNNNNNNNNNNNNNNNNNNNNNNNNNNNNNNNNNNNNNNNNNNNNNNNNNNNNCGAACUUACGAGCUCCUGGAGGUCUCAGCGGUGUUCGCCUGUUUGCGUAUCCGUUUUUAGUUCCAUGCGUUCUAGGGAUCGACCCAUAUUGAUUUUUUAGAGCCGAUACCGAUACCGAUAAUCUGCAAACUUUCAGGCCGAUAGCCGAUAUCUUGCCGAUAUUCUGUACAUUUACUAUUUUGAAUAAAUAAACUAAUUCGAAAGGUAAAUGCACAAAAUAUACAUGCCACAUGUAGUGGAUGAAGUGUGUUUAGACAGGGGAACUGUGUGUGUUUGUGUAGUGUGUGUGUGUGUGUGUGUGUGAAGUGGAUGCAGAGUGUGUGUUUGUGUAGUGUGUGUGUAUAAUGAAUGUAGUGUGUAUAUAAUGCAGUGUGUUUAUGUAGUGUGUAGCGGAGAGCUGAUCUCUCACAGCUAUUCUCCGCUUAAGAUCCUAGUGAGGCUCAGGAACGAGUCAGUAGUAACUCCACAGCAUAGUUUUCCAUCAGGUAACAGGUACAGCAAUAUCCCCACGACACUCCCAAUAACUGGACGACACACAGUUUCAGGAGUAGAAGAACUGACUCUCAUUUAUUCCACAGUUCUUUAUAAAGCCUGCUCCCAUGCAAGGGAGGGAACAACAUGAAUUAUGACAUUAGCCAAUACAGUGCUUGUUACCUCCCACACCUCUCCUCCCCUCAGAGUGAGUCAUAAUCCCCUUAACUGGUACAGCAAUUCACCCCGAACCUAGAUGUACCCCUAAACCAUUAUACAACCUUAAUAUUAGAGUACCGCUAGGUAGCCCUGAUCUGGGUGACUAUUAUAUCCAAAAUUCACCCAGAUCAGACCAGGGGUUCGGCAGUUAUAGAGAGGUGAAGUUUGACCGACCGCACACGAGUUGGUAUCCGAAAAGGGUUCCAUGAGUUUGGGCCCUGCGGUCGGUCUCCGUUCGGCAGUUAAAACACACAUUGAUACUGGCCCUUUACACUUAUAUUCGCCUAGAUACUGAUUCCCCCAUUCGGUACUUUGUUUCUACCGAAUGGGGAGUUGUUCAGACUUUCCGUUCGCCAGAUACGGAACUCCGGAGGUCUCAGCGAUGUUCGGUUGUUUGAGUAUCCGAUUUGGGUUCCAGACACUCGACGACCGAACACCGCUGAGCUUUUCAUGCGUAAGAUGGCCGCCGCCACGUGUACGCAUGCCGAAUGGCGGCCACCCAGAUACAUUGUUAACUUGCGGUUUUCACGGUAUGCAACCUUAAUUACCAACACACUUCUCUCUGGGGUGGUCUAUCAGUUCGGUAGUUUCCAUACGUAUAUGGUACGGAUGGAAACUACCGAAUAGCAUAUAUUCACACAAUACAACAUACGAAAUGGGAGAAGUAACACAGGCAGAAUGUACAAAAGAUAAUCACACAGGCAGGUUAUAGGACAGGCUUACUGCAUUCCGCUACAUAGUGUGUGUAUAAUGCAGUGUUUUUGUGUGUGUAUGUAAUGCAGUGUGUGUGUUAGUGUAGUGUGUAUGUGUAUGUAUGUAAUGUGUGUAUGUAAUGUAGUGUGUGUAUGUAAUGCAGUGUGUGUUUGUGUAGUGUGUAUGUAAUGUAGUGUGUAUGUAAUGCAGUGUGUGUGUAUGUAAUGCAGUAUGUGUGCAGUGUGUUUGUGUAGUGUGUGUGUAUGUAAUGCAGUGUAGUGUGUGCAGUGUAGUGUGUGCAGUGUGUGUGUCUGUUAUGCAGUAUGUGUGCAGUGUGUGUUUGUGUAGUGUGUGUUUGUGUAGUGUGUGUGGUCUGUGUAGUGUGUGUGUGUCAGUGUGUAGUGUGUAUGUAAUGCAGUAUGUGUGUAUGUAAUGCAGUAUGUGUGCAGUGUGUGUUUGUGUGUGUGUUUGUGUAGUGAUGUAAUUUGUGUAAUUUUUUAUUUUAAUAUUUUUUUUAAUAUUUAAAUGUUGUUUUUUGUUUAGUUCCCCCUCCCUAGUUUGUGUUUGUGUAGUGUGUGUGUGUAAUGCAGUGUGUGUGUCUGAGUAGUGUGUAUGUAAUGCAGUAUGUGUGCAGUGUGUGUUUGUGUAGUGUGUGUUUGUAAUGCAGUGUGUGUGUCUGAGUAGUGUGUAUGUAAUGCAGUAUGUGUGCAGUGUGUGUUUGUGUAGUGUGUGUGUAAUGCAGUGUGUGUGUCUGAGUAGUGUGUAUGUAAUGCAGUAUGUGUUCAGUGUGUGUUUGUGUGUGUUUGUGUUGUGUGUGUGUGUGUGUGUGUUGAGAUGUAAUUUGUGUAAUUUUUUAUUUUAAUAUUUUUUUUAAUAUUUAAAUGUGUUUUUUUUUGUUUAGUCCCCCCUCCCUGCUUCUUACCAGGGAGGGGGAUAUAGUAUUCCCUGGUGGUCCAGUGGCUUGUUAAGUACAGUGGUGGCUCAGCAACAGCAAGCGCUGACUUACCUUGCAAGCAGCUCCUACAGCUCUCUGUGUAAAUCUCGCGGCUCAGUGCCGCGCGGAGCGUUGCCAUGGUAACCCGUGGCAACGCUCUGCGGCCGCGGGUCUCGCGAGAUUUACACAGAGAGCUGUAGGAGCUGCUUGCAAGGUAAGUCAGCGCUUGCUGCUGGCCCCCACAGGACCGCCGGGCUUGUAAUGGGCCCGGCGGUCCUGUUAUAUAUAAUCGGCAAUAUCGGUAUCUGAAUUGGCCGAUACCGAUAUUGCUGAAAAUACCAAAUAUCGGCCGAUAAUAUCGGCCAGACCGAUAAUCGGUCGAUCCCUAAUGCGUUCACAGGCAAACACCACCGUUCAUGCGUAAGAUGGCCGCGAACACGUGUAAAGUCCCGAAAUGGCGGCCAUCUAACCUAAGCACAAAGGGAUUCGUCUGAACCAUGCGAACGGCUCCACAAUCACUGGGAGGUAAAAUAGCGAUUAACUGUUCCCCUGGGUGGUCUGAUGUUCGGUAUUUUGGGUUGUAUGUUAUAGUAGCAAUAUUCCCACGAAAACCAGCCAUUCGGUUCUGUUUAACCCCUCCAGCAGCAUUGUUGAUUAAGUCCAGGCAAAACUAUAGGCAUAAUCAUAGUUCUGUUACACAGGACAUCCAAGCGAUCAACCCCCCUGCUAGACCGGGGGCAAUCGUAACAAUUGGUGGCAGAAGUGGGAUCAUCCUGGGAUUCCUAAGAGAGCUACGGAACGGAUGGAGAGUAAUUACGAGAAGCUGAAACGUACCACGCUGAAAGAUCUGCUCGAGAACCGAGGUGGGAACGCGAGCAAUAGACCUAGGAGAGAAUUGAUUGCGGACCGGACCGAGAUGGACCAGAGCUUCACCACGGCAGAACCCACGAGCCUACCUAACGAUGAGAAGACAAGAAUUGUCCGGGAAAGGCUUCCCCUAUACGGGCCGAACCCUUCCGUGGAAUUAGUGAGACAGCUGAUGGCGGUGUCAGAGGCGGAUAUCGAAAGGGCUCGAGCCCAUGAGCUCAGCCUGAAAACUGCAGCACUUGGGGCCUCCAACAACCGAAAAUCCCAUUCGCGGCCUUCAAACCAUUCGUGGAGAACGAGAUGGGGAUCGACUAAUUCCUAACCGAUUUUGAGCGACAGUGUGGUUUACAUCAAAUCCCCACAACGGCCUGGCCGCGGAUACUGGCAGGGAAACUAGCCGGGCGGGCAAUGGAGAAGGUAUGCAGUAACCCCCGACACGUACCGAAGGCAAUUCCGUGACACGAAAAAGAAGCCGAAUGAUACCCAUGCCGAAUGGGCUCACAGAAUGCGGAGAGCAGCGACACAUUGGAUGAAUGGGUGUCGGGCAGUCACAGCAGCUGAAGUGUUGGAACUGUUUUUAUUAGAGCAUUUUUAUGAGGGACUGGAAUAAAAGGACCGGGAAUAGUUAAAGGAUCGCCGGCCGAGCGAUCUUAACGAAGCUGCGAGACUAGCGGACGAGCACCGGGACGCUCGGAUACAAGAAUUUAGUAGCUCCCGAACGGCCCCUCGCACCGAAUCCAGGGACACGUACCGUCCAACUCCGCGAACUGAAUUUUGCACGCCGGGCGGCCCAGGAACAACAGAAGGUCUGGUAUGACCGGGGAGCAAGAAAAAGGAGUUUCUGUGUAGGGCAGAAGGUGAUGGUGCUUAAACCUGUCAAAGCAGACAAGUUGCAAGCAGCAUGGCAGGGACCGUACCAGAUAGUAGAGAAAAUCACCACUUAUGUGAUUUCCAGUUGUCACGACGAAACCUUAAGGAAGAUAUUCCAUGUAAACAUGUUAAAGGAAUAUCUUCAACGACCCGAAGAGAUAGCAGCUAUCUGUAGCCCGGCCAGCGAAGACCCAGACAGCCUCCGCUUACCCCGAGGGACCCGUCAGACAUAGUGGGCCAGGUGCAGAUAGGGGACCGACUACACCAACUGCUCUAAGAGAAGCAGACUGUAUUGUUCCAGAAGCCGGGAUACACCACUUUAGCCACUCACCAAGUGGACACCCCAGGGCAGCAACCUUUAAGGCAGGCCCCCUACCGGAUUCCUGAGGCGGUCCGAGCAGGGAUGAAGAAGGAGAUGACUGAGAUGCUCCAGCUAGAGGUCAUUGAGUCCUCCAAUAUUCCCUCGGCAUCCCCGGUAGUACUGGUCCCCAAGAAGGAUGGUACUACCCGAUUCUGUGUGGACUAUCGGAAGCUGAAUGAUAAGACGGUGACCGAUGCAUAUCCCAUGCCCAGGAUGGAUGAAUUAUUGGAUCGUAUAGCCAGGGGAAACUACCUAACUACCAUCGACCUCUGUAAAUGUUAUUGGCAAAUUCCCCUGGCCAGGGAGGCUAUCCACAAGUCGGCAUUUGUCACCCCGUUCGGCUUAUACCACUUUAAGGUUAUGCCAUUCGGGAUGAAGAAUGCCCCUGCUACUUUUCAGCGCUUGGUGGAUCGACUCCUUGAUGGCUUCCAGGAGUUUGCCUGCGCAUACCUGGACGACAUAGCGAUCCAUAGUGAGUCCUGGGAGGACCACUUAAUCCAAGUGGGAAUGGCCCUGNNNNNNNNNNNNNNNNNNNNNNNNNNNNNNNNNNNNNNNNNNNNNNNNNNNNNNNNNNNNNNNNNNNNNNNNNNNNNNNNNNNNNNNNNNNNNNNNNNNNGAUCAGAUUCGGGCUGCAGGCCUGAAAUGCCAUUUUGGGAUGGCCGAGGUACAGUAUUUGGGUUACCGAGUGGGGUGUGGGAACCAGCGGCCAGAGCCAGCCAAGAUAGAGUUAGAUUACCAAUUGGCCCACCCCCACUAUCAAGACCCAAGUACUAGCCUUUCUGGGAACAGCAGGGUACUAUAGAAAGUUUGUGUCAGACUAUAGCACGAUAGCCAAACCCCUGAUGGACUUAACCAAAAAGAAUCUUCCUCGACAGGUCCUGUGGAAACCGCGUUUCAAACACUAAAAACUGCUUUAAGUAAUGCUCCUGUCUUGGCUGCCCCAGCCCCUAAUCAACGUUUUAUUGUUCAUACAGACAUUUCCUUGUUCGGGCUGGGAGCUGUCCUCACCCCCAGCCUACCCCAGCCGAAAGCUCCUGCCACGAGAAGUCCGCUAUGCCGCGGUGGAAAAGGAGUGUUUGGCCUUGGUGUGUUCACUAAAGAAGUUAACCCCCUAUUUGUAUGGACAAGAGUUCACUCUGGUAACAGACCAUAACCCGUUGGUGUGGCUAAACCGGGUCGCUGGGGACAAUGGCAGACUGUUACGCUGGAGCUUAUCCCUACAACCAUUUAACUUUACUAUCACCUACCGACCCGGGAAACAGAAUGGCAAUGCCGACGGGUUAUCACGGCAAACUGACCUCAGUCCAGCCUAAUCCUUUGGUCUGGACAGCCUUAGCCUGCCCCAAAAAGGGGUCAGACGGUGUCUGGGAGCAUUGUUACACAGUCUCCGUUCCACAGACUGGUUAUAUUGUUAAUGUACACUUCUGUUGAUUGAGACUCUGUUUAACGGCCUGCAGGCCAGGCGAACGGACUAUGCGAACUGAUUAUAAAGCGUCUUUCGUCAGUACGAACGACCGACCACCCAGCUCCAGACGUGUGCCGCCACUUAACCCUGUCACCCGGCAAAGUCCCGAACGGCCGACCACCCAGCCCUAAGCGUGUGCCGCCACUUAACCCCGUCACCCCGCAAAGUGCUGAACGGUCGGCCACCCUGCGAGCAGAGGGUGCCGCUUAUCAACCUGCCCUCAGGCGUUGCGGUUUGUGGUUAACCGCAGGUUACGUGCCUCUCCUGGGCGGGCCCCAUUCGCACCACGAACGGAUGGGACAACCAGACAGGUAGCGGGGAUUCGCAUGAUUCUGUACCCGGCCUUCGUUCCAUACAUUGAACGUCGAAGUCCCGCUGGCCAUUGACGGACCCAAAAACAUGGCCGCCAUUGAGGGUGUGGAAACCUACAACUGAACAGCUUUUCAUACGGUGGAAAUCUUGUCCUCUGUUCGUGGGAACAGGGCACUAUUCGCACACCCAAUGCAUCUAACGGAGAGCUACCGAAUUAUAAGUAGAAGGAACUAUAUGCACUAUAUAAUGCCUGAGUUAUGCAUUUUUAUGUUGUUUUCUGGUUCAUAAUAAAGCAUGGACGUUUUGGCCGCUUGGAGAUAAUUAGAUUGUAUAACCGUUGGCCUCAUUAUCUCCAAGCUGGGCGGGUACAAGUUUGAAUGAUACACUGUAUUAUGAUUGGUUAAAUACUUGUACUGUACCGGUAUCCCAUCAGGUCCAUGGGGGGCUGUCCCUGGACCUGGAGACUUGCAUAAAUUGCCAUGCUUGUGUGCCAGUUAAGCCAGUUCGUUUUGACCCUCAACUCGCAGCCUCGACUCGUGUUGUAGGGACCCGGGAAUACUAGCACUUUCUUUACUCGUGGGAUAUUCUACACUUUCAGCUCCUACCGAAGGGAACCACGUUCGACUCUCUGAUUUCGGGAACCAGGACAUCCAAGCGAUCAACCCCCUUGCUAGACCGGGGGCAAUCGUAACAGUGUUCCUUUUUCUGUUGGAUGGUUGUCCUUGUUCGGGAUCGCAAAUAAAAAGGAAACAGUUUACUAGACACCGCCUAUUAUGCUGGAGAGUGGAAUCCAAUUGGCUGUUCCUGUCGCUAGGAAGAUGUACCACUCAGACAAUUUAUUGUUACCAUACUGUUUAUGUUAUUGUGAAGGACUUUUAUGCAAUUGCCUAUAUGCUUCAGUUUUAAUUCUCUCCCUGCUAUUUUAAUGUCUAUAUUGUUCGGUUCCAAAUGUUGAGAAUGAAUGUAUUCGUGUACCGAACAGGGAUGUUAAAAGUAUAAUUGUAUGUCUUAUAGAAAGUAUGUUUCUGAAAUUGUUAUAAAUUGUAAUGUUUCUGGCCAGCAGAUAAUUGAGCUUUGUGUAUUGUAGAAUCUCAAUUAUCUAGCCUAGCCCAGAGGAGGAGUUUUGUGUUGCUUAAAUUGUGAGUUCUGUGUGCCAGUAAAUCAGUCUUGUUCCAGCAUUAAGCUUUGGCUCAUGUGUGGAUUAUUCGGCGAUUCCAGGGAUAUUUCUGCUUAUGGAAUAGUGAGUGCUUUUCUUUUAUGGGAAGAAGGGAAUGAUUGACGGGGAUAUUUUCUUCUACCAUCACAGUUAUAUUUUUUUCUUUGCUGCUGAGGGAAAUAAAGAAAGAGUGCAGCAUAAUAAUCGCCUCCGUGUCGUCAUAAAAUCAUGAAUUUACAUCAUGUUAAUAGUAAAAUCUGUGAAUUNNNNNNNNNNNNNNNNNNNNNNNNNNNNNNNNNNNNNNNNNNNNNNNNNNNNNNNNNNNNNNNNNNNNNNNNNNNNNNNNNNNNNNNNNNNNNNNNNNNNUAUUUGGCAGGAUGGGAGAGAAUAUUGAGCAUAAUCAAAAUUCUUAAAAAAAUAAACCUCAAAAUAUCAAUAUAUCAUUACUCCUGGCUAAAGAAAUAUGGUGCUAAAAACAUGCAAAACUGAGCUGAUAUCCAGAAGGAAUCUGGAGACAUAGAACCUUGUAAAGGAUCCUUCUAUUCGUGCAGCGAUGAUCCUUGCAGCUUCUCCCGAAAUCCAGCUGAAACAAAGUGAUUAUAACUCCCAAUCCCCCAAACAUGAGUCGAGACUUCAUGAAGGGGUAAAACGAUCUGAUUUACUGUGGGCUACCCGCCUGGUAUUUAUGCAGGUCUUCCACCUGGUGGACACUCCCCUAGGGGACCAGAUGGAAGACUGGGACAAAAGUAUCACAGUAGCCAAUCACAGUGGCUAUAGCAUAAGCACUCCCUUUUUACAUAAAUCACUCCCUCUUUUCCAUCCUGGAGAUAAUUAAUUUAAGGUAGCAAAGAGUGCCUUAAUUAUCUCCAGGUAGAAAGAAACAUGGCUUUCUUAUUUUAGCAAAACAGCAUAAAAAUCUAUAACUUUCCUUUUACAUAACAUAAACUUUAAGUCCCACAUAUCCCCAGAUAGCUUGGAUCAGAAACAUCGACUGAAGUUUGACUUUCGCUGGCCGUUCGUGUGUUUGUAGCCGACUACAAGUUCCAUACCGUAGCUAUCUGGGGUCGGUCACUUUCGCAUACUUCCAACGCACGAAUGAAGUAGUAUCCCCUUCAUUUGUGUGUUUUUCCACUGUACAAACGAGGAUUUGAAGAGGUAGCAGCGGUGUUCGACAAAAUAAGUAGCCGAAAUUAGUUUCAGGGAAUCCUCGCAAUUUACCGCUGAGCGUUCGACAAAAUGGCGAUUGCCAAGUGUUCGGUAAACGAACGCGAACCACCAGCUAUUCCCCAAUUAGUCUGUGGUUAACCGCAACAGUCUGGGUGGUUAAUAGGCGCCACACGACCUCAGUGGGAGGUCGGUGGUUCGGUAGUUCAUUCGCUUUUCUCGCUAUUUUCACAAAAUCCCGCUGUAAUCAUCCAAAUAACCGAACAGGCUGGUUCGCAUGGUCUGUUUAAUAAGGGAUUUCGUUACACAGCUCCCCCUUAGUCCCAUGGAACGGCAUACCUGCUUAGAUCCUAACGGGUCGGCUAAGGGAUGUCCGGUAAAACAAGAAAAACAAACAAAAUAACUACUUCUCCAGUUCAGUUUGCCGCGACAGGCCAUCUGCAUUGGCAUUCUGCUUCCCGGGGCGAUACUGCAUUGUAAAAUUAUAGGGUUGCAGUGCCAACCUCCAUCUGAGUAAUCUGGGGUUAUCGCCAGCUACUCUGUUAAGCCAAAUCAAAGGGUUGUGGUCAGUCAGCACUGUGAAAGAGCGUCCAUACAGGUAAGGUUGUAGUUUUUUAAGUGCCCAAACUAAUGCCAGACACACUUUUUCCACGGUGGCAUAGCUGACUUCGCGUGGUAACAGUUUUCUGCUCAGAUACGCCACCAGGUGAUCCAUGUCAUCGUCUCCCACCUGGCUCAAUACUGCUCCCAGUCCAAACAUUGAGGCAUCUGUGUGAACAAGAAACCUUUUAGUAUGAUCAGGUGCCGCCAACACAGGAGAUGCACUUAACGCAGCCUUGAGUUACUAAAAACCUUUUAGUAUGAUCAGGUGCCGCCAACACAGGAGAUGCACUUAACGCAGCCUUGAGUUUCUGGAAAGCCUCCUCACACUCAGUUCACAGAGGCCAUUGGUUUGGGGGUGAUAGGGGGAACUUAAUAUGGGUUUUAUCCCACAGCUCUGCCAGAGCUGUUGGGUAACCAGCGCUGUGAAUUGGGUUCCCUGAUCCGACACUAUCUCCCUAGGGAAUCCCACCCUAGUAAAUACCUGAACCAGUGCUUCCGCUACCGUCUCUGCAUGUAUAUUUGACAGAGCUAUAGCUUCGGGGUAGCGGGUAGCGUAGUCCACCACAGUAAGAAUGUAUUUCUUACCGGAUGGACUGGGUUUGCUGAGUGGCCCGACUAAAUCAACUGCCACUCGGAAAAAUGGUUCCUCAAUGAUGGGUAGGGGACGUAGUUUUGCCCUGGGGUGAUCCCCUCUCUUCCCUACCUUUUGGCAUACCUCGCAGGUCCUACAAUAAUCCUGCAAAUCCCUAGUGACCCCCGACCAGAAAAAUGAUUGGGUGAGUCGGUCUCUAGUCUUUUUAAUGCCUAAGUGACCUGCUAGGGGGAUAUCGUGGCUAAUCGGUAACAGUUCUACCCAAUACUUACGGGGCACUAUUAACUGUCUUUUUUCUACCUGACCUGCUCCUUUCCCUGUCCCCCAAGUCACUCGGUACAGUAAACCCUUUUCCCAGAUAAACCUUGCCUGAUCUCCGUCUCCCUGGGGUUGUUCGGCCUCCCUCCGAUAUCCCUUUAAGGUGGGAUCUUCCCGCUGAGCUUGCUCAAAGUCUUGAGAGGUACCCCAGUAAGAAGUAUGGUCAGGGUGAAUCGUCAGAGGGUUAUUGCUUACCUGGUCAUGGGUUGAGGGGGAGGCCUCCAUAGCUCUGGAUUGCUGCCGGGUGGUAACAGGUAGGACUCCUUCUGGACUGCAGGCUGCCAAUUGGGACGUCAUGCAUCCUAAAUCAUUCCCCAGCAACACUUCCGCUGGCAAAUCUGGCAUGAUGCCCACUUCCACGGCCUUGGCCCCCGUACCCCAAUCAAUGUGUACCCGGGCUGUUGGUAGUUUAUGAAUUGCCCCUCCAGCCACCCUUACAGCAAUGGUGCAUCCUGUGUGCUGGGUCGGGGUGACCCGGUGUGGCUGGACCAAGGUAAUAGUAGCCCCGCUGUCUCUCAGUCCCUGAGCCUCUUGUCCAUUUAGCUUUACCGACUGGCGGUGGUGCGCCCUGUUAUCCCCAGCUGCUUGCACAGGGUUCACCUCAUGUAAGGUGGCCCAAUUCUCACUGUGGUUACUGGGUGUCUCUUGAGUCAGAGAGUUGUAAUCCUCUUGCACACAGUGUGCGGCUGCUUUGGUCAGUGGUACUGGUGUGGGCAAUUAGGUUUGAUGUUCCCCACUUGCUUGCACCCAUAACACAUUGGAGCGGUCUUUUGGUACCCCGGGGUUGUGGUAUUGCCCCCGGUGGUGGUACCCUCUGUGGCAUAGCUGGCGGACCAGAUGCAGGCCGCUGGCCCUGGAACCCUCAAUUUCCAUCCAUCCGUCUGCUCUCAUGAAAUUCGUCUGCCAGCCUUGCUGCCUCCUCCACCGUUUUUGGCUUUCUGUCUCUGACCCAGUCUCUCACCUCUGCUGGUGUAUAAUCAAAAAACUGCUCCAGUAAUAUCAAUUGCUCAGCAUCCUCUAAGGUAGUUGCCUGAUUCCCCUGUAUCCAAUUACUAAAAGCGCGUUGCAUACGAAAUGCCCACUCAGUAUACGAAUCCUUGCCUUGCCUCCUGAGGGCCCGAAAUUUCCUUCUAUGGGCUUCAGGAGUUACAGCGUAACGAGCCAACAAAAUCUCUUUUAUUUUUUCGUAGUUUUGUAUAUCCCCAUCUGGCACAGCUCUCAACGCUUCGGCUGCUCUACCUGAUAAUUUGCUGCUUAAUACUGCAGCCCAGUUAGCUCUUUCCAAAUCUUCUAGCACACAUUGUCUCUCAAAAUCUUGCAAAUAAUUAUCAAUAUCCAUCUCACCUUCCACGAAGCUUUUAAAUGCAGCGUAGUUGAUUUUCCGCUAACGCCCCAUUGUAGAUCCAGAUAGCGACAAUAUAUCCACAGGAGGUGAUCUGUUGCUGGCUUCUCGGGCUUCCCUGGCAUUCUGGGUCUCUGUAGCUUGUGCCAAGAUCUGUACCACGAUCUCCGGUGCAGGGUUAGGUCCUACCAGGCUGAGUCUCCAUCUCACAUCCUUCUGGAACUCUGUUUCCUCUGCAUUCGCCAUUUGUUGUUCGCCAGUUUGAUCGCUCUCCAGUAGUUCGGCUAUUAACGUGGCUUUCGGUUUGUUGCUUGCCACUAUGCCUCGAGCUUCCAGCAGUUCCUUCAAUGUAGUUCGUUUCAAGUGUUCGUAUCUAUGCGCCAUUCACCACUUGUUUCACUUGUAUUUAUGCAGGUCUUCCACCUGGUGGACACUCCGCUAGGGGACCAGAUGGAAGACUGGGACAAAAGUAUCACAGUAGCCAAUCACAGUGGCUAUAGCAUAAGCACUCCCCUUUUACAUAAAUCACUCCCUCUUUUCCAUCCUGGAGAUAAUUAACUUAAGGUAGCAAAGAGAGCCUUAAUUAUCUCCAGGUAGAAAGAAACAUGGCUUUCUCAUUUUAGCAAAUCAGCAUAAAAAUCUAUAACUUUCCUUUUACAUAACAUAAACUUUAAGUCCCACAUAUCCCCAGAUAGCUUGGAUCAGAAACGUCGACUGAAGUUUGAUUUUCGCCGGUCGUUCGUGUGUGUUUGUAGCCGACUACAAGUUCCAUACUGUAGUUAUCUGGGGUCGGUCACUUUCGCAUACUUCCAGCGCACGAAUGAAGUAGUAUCCCCUUCAUUUGUGUGUUUUUCCACUGUACGAAUGAGGAUUUGAAGAGGUAGCAGCGGUGUUCAACAAAAUAAGUAGCCGAAAUUAGUUCCAGGGAAUCGUUGCCAUUUACCGCUGAGCGUUCGACAAUACAAAAUGGCGAUUGCCACGUGUUCGGUAAAUGAACGCGGACCACCAGCUAUUCCCCAAUUAGUCUGUGGUUAACCGCAACAGUCUGGGUGGUUAAUAGGCGCCACACGACCUCAUUGGGAGAUCGGUGGUUCGGUAGUUCAUUCGCUUUUUUCGCUAUUUUUACGAAAUCCCGCUGUAAUCAUCCAAAUAACCGAACAGGCUGGUUCGCAUGGUCUGUUUAAUGAGGGAUUUUGUUACAAACCUCAUGUGCAAACAGAGAUUCCAUGCUUGCAAGCAAACUACAAAAUCAGAAACUGAAACUGUAAAACUGACAAUGUAAGGCUUAACACGGAGCAAAGCAGAUCCCCAAAUGGACAUGUGUUCUGGUUUAUUGGUUUUGAGUAAGAAGGAGAGUAGAAGCGAUUAGUCCAGGCCCUGGAGACUUAAUAGCUGGAGCACACUAGGUACCCUGGUCUCCAAACAGAAAGAGAAGAUGACAGCAGGUAUCUACUCAAAGACAGACAGUUACUGAAAUACUGGAAUGCUGUGCUACCUGUAAGUAGCUACUGUUACAAGACCAUAUAUUGCCACCAUAUUAGGAGUCAGCACCCUGACUUAAAAUGAAAAAUGCAAUAAUUAGGAAGUACAAUCCAAACUAAAUUAUGGUAGUAUCCCGGUACAGAGUGUGUUUGAUUUGUGAUUCCAUCAUGUGGUGAUUAAGAGAUACUGAAUUUGAAUGACCCGCCAAUUGCCCCAAAUUUUGGAAAAAUCUAAAUUUGUUCGAAGCCGAAUGUAAUAAAAUUCUAUUGAUUACAAUAUUUACAGUUCACUAAAGGCUGUAUCUCGAAAAUUAUACGGAUCUACCCUUUAAAUACAAAAAAACUACAAAGGAAAUUAGGAACAAAAUGUUAAAAAUGUAUGUUUUUUCUGUUUAGAGUUAAUUGAGUUAGCCCAUACAGAGUCAUACAGAAUACUCGGAUGUUACAUUAUAUUGGAGUGAUACAGAAUACUCGGGGAGGUUCCAUUAUAUUGGAGUGAUACAGAAUACUCGGACGUUACAUUAUAUUGGAGUGAUACAGAAUACUCGGACGUUAUAUUAUAUUGGAGUGAUACAGAAUACUCGGACGUUGAAUUAUAUUGGAGUGAUACAGAAUACUCGGGGAGGUUACAUUUUAUUGGAGUGUGUAGCAGAGACCCUCUGGCUGUCCAGCAUAUUCCCUGUUUAUUUGCUAGGUGACCCCAGAGACUUUCGUGUGGAUUUUUGCUAAAGACUUUCGUGUGGAUUUAUUAUACAGUCAAAGCAUUCGUCUGGUUGUCAGUAAAAGCAAAAAAUUCAAGAAACCACUGUGGUACUCCACAGAUGUGGCCAAAAUAGUUAAAAACAAAAAGUUAGCAUUUAGGAAUUAUAAAAAAACCCAGAGUGAGGAAGACAAAAUGAUCUAUAAGAUUAGGCAGAAAGAGGCUAAGCAAGUUAUAAGAGCUUCCAAAUCACACACAGAAGAGAAAAUAGUACAGUCAGUAAAAAAGGGGGAUAAAACAUUUUUUAGAUACAUAAAUGAGAAAAGAAAAGUAAAACAAGGAUUAGUUAGAUUAAAAACAAAAGAAGGAAGGUAUGUAGAAGAGGAUAAAGGUCUAGCUGACUGCCUCAAUGAAUAUUUUUGUUCUGUAUUUACAGAUGAAAAUGAAGGAAAGGGACCUCAGUUGAGAAAAAGGAUAAAUGAGUCAUUUAUUACACGUGAGUUUACAGAGGAAGAGGUUCUAUUUCAACUGUCAAAAGUAAAGACAAAUAAGUCAAUGGGACCUGAUGGAAUACACCCAAAGCUAUUAAUAGAGCUUAGUGGUGUACUAGCAAAACCAUUAACAGAUUUAUUUAACCAAUCAUUGUUAACAGGAGUAGUCCCAGAAGAUUGGAAGUUAGCGAAUGUUGUGCCCAUUUACAAGAAAGGUAAUAGGGAGGAGUCGGGCAACUAUAGGCCAGUAAGCCUUACUUCAGUAGUGGGGAAAGUGAUGGAAACCAUGUUAAAGGAUAGGAUUGCUCAACAUCUAAAAACACAUGGAUUUCAAGAUCAGAGAUAACAUGGGUUUACUUCAGGGAGAUCAUGCCAAACUAAUCUUGUUGAUUUUUUUGAUUGGGUAACUCAAAUUAUAGAUCAGGGUGGUGCAGUAGACAUUGCUUACCUAGAUUUCAGUAAGGCUUUUGACACUGUUGCACAUAGAAGGCUUAUCAAUAAACUGCAAUCUUUAAGUUUGGAUUCCAAUAUUGUUGAAUGGGUAAGGCAGUGGCUGAGUGACAGGCAACAGAGGGUUGUAGUUAAUGGAAUAUAUUCGAAGCUUGGACUUGUC
rnacentral:lncRNA from 1 species